UCCCUGGUGGUCCACUGGUUAAGACUCCUAGCUUCCAAUGCAGGGGUUGCAGGUUUGAUUCCUGGUCAGGGAA
rnacentral:tRNA from 1 species